CACUCCCCUUCCUCAAGGACUUAACUUGUGCAAGCUGACUCUCAGCACAUCCAAGAAUGCAAUUAACUGAUAAGAUACUGUGGCAAGCUAUAUCGGCAGUUCCCAGGAAUUCGCCCAGUUAGUAGCGCCCAGAGCCCCUGUGUUUGUGUCCGUGUUUGUGUCCGGUUGAUAACGCCCAAAGCCCCGUGCCUAUCACCUUGUGAUAGAUUUAAAGCCUCUGCACCUGGAACUGUUUGCUUUCCUGUAACCAUUUAUCCUUUUAACUUUUUGCCUGCUUUACUUCUGUAAGACUGUUUUAACUAGACUCCCCCGCUCCCCUUUCUAUACCAAAGCAUAAAAGAAAAUCUAGCCCCUUCUUCAGGGCCGAGAGAAUUUUGAGUGCUAGCCAUCUCUCAGUCACCAGCUAACAAAGGACUCCUGAAUUCGUCUCAGAGUGUGGCGUUUCUCGGUAACUCACUCGGUUACAUUUGGAGGCCCCAGCAAGAUUUCACCACCGGGUGAGUGCCGGACUCACUCUGGGAUCCCCCGGACAGAUGGUGGGCUUAUAGGGGAGGCACCACCUGAGAUGUUCCAGGGCCCUGUAGGCCACUGUCUUCUGGAGGGGAACGGAUCAACAGCCGGUGUGUGCCCACCAAAAUCAACUCCUGAGUCCUCCGUCUCUGGUCCCAGGAAGGUGUUUAAAUCCAGCUACUUUACUCCCUGAUCCAGACUUCACUACACCUGUCCAUUGACUGCCAGGCACUGCUAGAGACUACGGAAACUGACCAACCUGAUCUCCAAGAUGUGCCUUUAAAGGAAAUGGACGCCACCGUGUUUCCAGAUGGUAGCAGCUUCCUUGAACAAGGAAUACGAAAGGCUGGUGCAGCUGUUACAACAGAGACAGAAAUACUGUGGACUCAGGCAUUGCCGGCAGAUACCUCAGCACAAAAGGCUGAAUUGGUUGCUGUCACUCAGGCUCUCCGAUGGGGUAAGGACAAACGUAUUAACAUCUACACUGACAGCAGAUAUGCUUUUGCUACUGUACAUGUACACGGAGCCAUCUACCAAGAGCGAGGACUACUCACCUCAGCAGGAAAGAGUAUUAAAAACAAAGGAGAAAUUCUGGCCCUGCUUGAAGCUGUUUGGCUUCCUCAACAGGUAGCUGUAAUUUACUGCAAAGGACAUCAAAAAGAAGACAUGGCCGUUUCUCGUGCUAACCAAAGAGCAGACUCUGCAGCUCGGGGAGGCAGCUCGGCUUCCAGUCGCGCCUCUGACCCUGCUGCCUGCAGUGUCCUUUCCGCAACCUGACUUACCAGACCACCCAGAAUACUCCCCAGAGGAAGAAAAACAAGCUUCAGAUCUUCAGGUUAAUAAAAAUCAGGAAGGCUGGUGAAUUCUUCCUGAUUCCAGAAUCUUCAUGCCCCGGGCCCUCGGGGAAACUUCAGUCAGUCGUCUGCAUUCUACCACCCAUUUAGGAGGAGUAAAACUGUCCCAGCUUCUAAGGAGCUGUUUCAAGAUCCCCCACCUUCAAGACUUAGCUAACCAAGCAGCUCUCCGGUGCACAGCUUGUGCUCAGUCUCUCCAACAGGUACAAGACAUCAUCCAGCCACUGAUCCGGGGAGCUCAUCCCAACCCAGUUCCUGACCAGAUGGGGCCGUGCCACUCUUUCCAGCCAGGUGACCUGGUGUAUGUUAAAAAUUUCCAGAAAGAAGGACUCACUCCUGCCUGAAAAGGACCUCAUACUGUCAUCCUUACCACACCAACGGCCCUGAAAGUGGACAGCAUUCCGACUUGGAUUCAUCACUCUCGCAUCAAAAAGGUCAACAGAGCCCAGCAAGAAACACGGGUCCCCAGGCCUGGGCCAGGCCCCUUAAAACAGAGCCUACGUCGAGUGAAGCCAUCAGAUUAAUUCUUUUUAUUUACCUCUGUUGUUUGUUUCUGCCUAUUAUGCCCUCUGCUCCAUCCUACUCUUUCCCCCUCACCUCUUUCAUGACAGGACGUGUGUUUGCAAACACUACUUGGAGGGCAGGAACCUCCAAGGAAGUCUCUUUUGCAGUCGAUUAAUGUGCUUUGUUCCCAGAGCCUUCCUGUGCCCAUGAAGAACAAUGCAAUCUGCCGGUCAUGGGAGCGGGGAGUGUCGACCUUGCUGUGGGAUUUGGACACUCCGGAAGCCAGACUGGAUGUAGAAACUCCAAAGGUGCAGAACAAGAACUUCAGAAUGUUGACUUUUACCUCCUGGAAAUCACCCUGACUCUAGUUGUGGAGAUUCUUACCAGUUUUUCUGCCCUGACUGGACAUGCGUAAUCUUGGCCACCUACUCUGGGGGAUCAACCCGAUGUUCUACCCUUUCCACAGCUCGUGCUUCCUGACCUAAACUGUGUAUUAAGAGAAAUUGUAAUCUCCUUACUAUAACUAUCCAUAACCCUAAUUUAGCUCAAUGGUAUUACAUCAUGUCAUGGGGAUUAAGGCUUUAUAUCUCAGGAUUUGAUGUCAGAACUAUGUUCACCAUCCAGAAGAAAAUCCUGGUCUCAUGGAGCCCUCCUAAGACAAUCGGGCCUUUAACUGAUUUAGGUGACCCUAUGUUCCAAAAACACCCAGACAGGGUCGAUUUAACUGUCCUGCUACCAUUCCUGGUUCCCAAACCUCAGCUGCAAUGACAGCACCUCCAACCCAGCCUGCUGUCCAUUCUGGGCGGGGUACAUCACCUCCUCAAUCUUACCCAGCCUAAACUAGCCCAAGAUUGUUGGUUGUGCCUAAAGGCCAAACCCCCAUGUUAUGUUGGAUUAGGAGUAAAAGCCGCACUUAAAAUUGGCUCUCUUUCUUGUUGUACACGCGCCCAUGUCCUCACAUUAGGAGACGUGUCCGGAAAUGCUUCUUGUUUAAUUAGCACCAGAUAUAACUUAUCUGCUUCUCCCUUUCAGGCUACCUGUAAUCAGUCUCUACUUACUUCCUUAAGUGCCGCAGUCUCCUACCAGGCACCUAACAAUACCUGGUUAGCCUGCACUUCAGGUCUCACACGCUGCAUCAGUGGGACUGAACCAGAACCUCUCCUGUGUGUGUUGGUUCAUGUGCUCCCCCAGGUCAACGUGUGUAGUGGGCCAGAAGGACAACUUCUCAUCGCUCCCCCUGAAUUACAUUCCAGGUUUCGCCGAGCCGCCCCACUCCUCGUACCCCUUCUGACCAGCCUUAGCAUAGCCGGAUCACAGCCGCCCUGGUUCAGGGAGAAACUGGGCUAAUGUCCCUGUCUCAACAAGUAGAUGCUGAUUUAAGCAAUCUCUGAUCAGCCAUAAAUAUACUACAUACCCAAGUAGAGUCUCUAGCUGAAGUAGCUCUUCAAAACCGCCAAGGCUUAGAUCUGCUGUUUCUCUCCCAAGGAAGGUUAUGUGCCACUCUGGGAGAGAGUUGUUGCUUCUACGCCAAUCAGUCCGGGGUCAUAAAAAAUCCUCUCCAAAAAAUUCAAAAAAAUCUAGAUAGACGCCAACAGGAAUGGGAAAAUAACACCCCCUGGUACCAAAGCAUGUUUAACUGGAAUCUGUGGCUAACUACUCUAAUCACUGGGUUAGCUGGACCCCUUCCCCUCCUAUUGUUAGGCUUAGUCUUUGGGCCUUGUAUAUUAAAUUGGUUUCUUAACUUUAUAAAGCAAUUCUGUCAAGCUUAUGUAUCUUAAAACCCAAUAUAACCCCCUUGUUAUAACUGAGGAAUCAAUGAUUUUAUUCCCCAAAAACACAAGUGGGGAAUGUGGUACCUUACCUUGUUUUAACCUGAACUGACUCUCCUUUAGCUAAGAGAGCCAGACAGACUCCAUAUUGGCUCCUUCACUCGCAGCUCCCUACCCACUCCCCUUCCUCAAGGACUUGUGCAAGCUGACUCCCAGCACAUCCAAGAAUGUAAUUAACUGAUAAGAUACUGUGGCAAGCUAUAUCCGCAGUUCCCAGGAAUUCGCCCAGUUAGUAGCGCCCAGAGCCCCUGUGUUUGUGUCUGUGUUUGUGUCUGGUUGAUAACGCCCAAAGCCCCGCGCCUAUCACCUUGUGACAGAUUUAAAGCCUCUGCACCUGGAACUGUUUGCUUUCCUGUAACCAUUUAUCCUUUUAACUUUUUGCCUGCUUUACUUCUGUAAGAUUGUUUUAACUAGACUCCCCCGCUCCCCUUUCUAUACCAAAGCAUAAAAGAAAAUCUAGCCCCUUCCUCAGGGCCGAGAGAAUUUUGAGUGCUAGCCAUCUCUCAGUCACCAGCUAAUAAAGGACUCCUGAGUUUGUCUCA